UACGGAGGGUGCAAGCGUUAUCCGGAUUCACUGGGUUUAAAGGGUGCGUAGGCGGUUUUGUAAGUCUUGUGUGAAAUCUUCAGGCUCAACUUGAAGACUGCACGAGAAACUGCAGGGCUUGAGUGUGGGAGAGGUGAGUGGAAUUCCUGGUGUAGCGGUGAAAUGCGUAGAUAUCAGGAGGAACACCUGUGGCGAAAGCGGCUCACUGGACCACAACUGACGCUGAUGCACGAAAGCUAGGGGAGCAAACAGG
rnacentral:rRNA from 1 species